rnacentral:tRNA from 1 species
GCCUUCGUGGUGUAAUUGGAAGCAUACUGGACGGGCAUUCCAGAGGUCCAGGGUUCGAGUCCCGGCGAGGGCA